rnacentral:rRNA from 1 species
UACGGAGGAUGCAAGCGUUAUCCGGAAUUAUUGGGCGUAAAGCGUCCGCAGGUGGCACCUCAAGUCUGUCGUCAAAGACCGGGGCUUAACCCUGGAAAGGCGAUGGAAACUGAAAGGCUAGAGAGAGGUAGGGGUAGAGGGAAUUCCCAGUGUAGCGGUGAAAUGCGUAGAGAUUGGGAAGAACAUCGGUGGCGAAAGCGCCUUGCUGGGUCUGCACUGACACUGAGGGACGAAAGCUAGGGGAGCGAAAGGG